rnacentral:lncRNA from 1 species
AUGGAGAAGAACGUUUGGGCUGCUUCUCUCUGUGGAGACUCAUCUGACCAAAGCCCAAUUUGAUGAACGUUAAGGGCUGUAGGAUCCACUCUUCCAACUAGGUCCGCCCUGCUCUGAAGACCCACCUUCUUUUGGCUGGAAAAUGAAUCUGCGAACAUCUUUGAGAAGGAGUUACUGAACACUGUGCAAACGACAGACAGCACUAAAGUUCCCAUUAGCUACCAGAAGAAAACUCAAAGUUCAUUAACGAGUAGCUGAUUGUCUUUAUCGCACGGAGGCUUACGUCUUAACACCCAAGAAGGAAGGAGUGAAAUCUGCCUCAGUACUUCCAUGGAAUUCCUUCUCGAAGUUUGAUUCAAUUCCUGUUCAUGUGUAAGACAUAAGCCUUAUGCCAUGAAAUUCCCAUUUUAACUGGUUGUCGGCUGUAAGUUAAUAUGCAGACUUAUUUCGCUUCUCCCCCUCCAC